GGCUAAAUACUCCCUAGUGAUCGAUAGUGAACCAGUACCGUGAGGGAAAGGUGAAAAGCACCCCGGAAGGGGAGUGAAAGAGAUCCUGAAACCGUGUGCCUACAAAUAGUCAGAGCCCGUUAACGGGUGAUGGCGUGCCUUUUGUAGAAUGAACCGGCGAGUUACGAUCCCGUGCGAGGUUAAGCUGAAGAGGCGGAGCCGCAGCGAAAGCGAGUCUGAAUAGGGCGUUUAGUACGUGGUCGUAGACCCGAAACCAGGUGAUCUACCCAUGUCCAGGGUGAAGUUCAGGUAACACUGAAUGGAGGCCCGAACCCACGCACGUUGAAAAGUGCGGGGAUGAGGUGUGGGUAGCGGAGAAAUUCCAAUCGAACCUGGAGAUAGCUGGUUCUCCCCGAAAUAGCUUUAGGGCUAGCCUUAAGUGUAAGAGUCUUGGAGGUAGAGCACUGAUUGGACUAGGGGUCCUCAUCGGAUUACCGAAUUCAGUCAAACUCCGAAUGCCAAUGACUUAUCCUUAGGAGUCAGACUGCGAGUGAUAAGAUCCGUAGUCAAAAGGGAAACAGCCCAGACCGCCAGCUAAGGUCCCAAAGUGUGUAUUAAGUGGAAAAGGAUGUGGAGUUGCUUAGACAACUAGGAUGUUGGCUUAGAAGCAGCCACCAUUUAAAGAGUGCGUAAUAGCUCACUAGUCGAGUGACUCUGCGCCGAAAAUGUACCGGGGCUAAAUACACCACCGAAGCUGCGGAUUGAUACCGAAUGGUAUCAGUGGUAGGGGAGCGUUCUAAGGACAGUGAAGUCAGACCGGAAGGACUGGUGGAGUGCUUAGAAGUGAGAAUGCCGGUAUGAGUAGCGAAAGACGGGUGAGAAUCCCGUCCACCGAAUGCCUAAGGUUUCCUGAGGAAGGCUCGUCCGCUCAGGGUUAGUCAGGACCUAAGCCGAGGCCGACAGGCGUAGGCGAUGGACAACAGGUUGAUAUUCCUGUACCACCUCUUUAUCGUUUGAGCAAUGGAGGGACGCAGAAGGAUAGAAGAAGCGUGCGAUUGGUUGUGCACGUCCAAGCAGUUAGGCUGGUA
rnacentral:rRNA from 1 species